rnacentral:misc_RNA from 1 species
UAUGGGACCCAAACACAUCAUUAGUUUUGAAAGUUUGCAAUCUUAAGUGAUUUUCUCUAGGACUUGAAGUGCUUCUUUCAUGGAAGGUCUCUUUUCUGGUGCAAAACAAGCACAACUAAACCCUAACUUCAAGCAUGCCAACAUGACAUCCUCCCUAGCCUCCACGUCAGCUCGAAUCGCCAUGUCAACCAACCUCAAAACCCGAUUCUUAUCCUCCGCCAUUAAACCGGUGUUCCAUUGGCUCACCUCUCGAUCUGAAAGCACUCUACCAGUGAGAAGUUCAAGUAAAAUAACACCAAAGGAGUAAACAUCCCAUUUAGGAUUUGAUUUUAUAUUCUUUAAGGACUCAGGAGCUUGAUAUGGCGACGUGCUGCUAGUUGUGGAGGAGCUAGGGGUUGCAUAGGGGCUUGUAGUGAUAGAGAGGUCAUGUGAGGUGGAGAUAGAUCUUUGGCUACCAAAAUUGCGACCAGAGUUGCUAGAUUUAUAGCUAUUGC